CCUACGGGAGGCAGCAGUGAGGAAUAUUGGUCAAUGGACGAGAGUCUGAACCAGCCAAGUAGCGUGAAGGAUGACUGCUCUAUGGGUUGUAAACUUCUUUUAUAUGGGAAUAAAAUGUUCCACGUGUGGGAUUUUGUAUGUACCAUAUGAAUAAGGAUCGGCUAACUCCGUGCCAGCAGCCGCGGUAAUACGGAGGAUCCGAGCGUUAUCCGGAUUUAUUGGGUUUAAAGGGAGCGUAGGUGGAUUGUUAAGUCAGUGGUGAAAGUUUGCGGCUCAACCGUAAAAUUGCAGUUGAAACUGGCAGUCUUGAGUACAGUAGAGGUGGGCGGAAUUCGUGGUGUAGCGGUGAAAUGCUUAGAUAUCACGAAGAACUCCGAUUGCGAAGGCAGCUCACUGGGCUGCAACUGACACUGAGGCUCGAAAGUGUGGGGAUCAAACAGGAUUAGAUACCCUAGUAGUC
rnacentral:rRNA from 1 species